AACUAUGUGCCAGCAGCUGCGGUAAUACAUAGGUCGCGAGCGUUAUUCGGAUUUAUUGGGCGUAAAGCAAGCGCAGGCGGAUAGAUAAGUUCUGUGUUAAAAGCAGCUGCUCAACAGUUGUUUGCACCGAAUACUAUCAAUCUAGAAUAUGGUAGGAAGUUUUGGAAUUAAAUAUGGAGCGGUGGAAUGUGUAGAUAUAUUUAAGAACACCAGAGGCGAAGGCGAAAACUUAGGCCAUUAUUGACGCUUAGGCUUGAAAGUGUGGGUAGCAAAUGGGAUUAGAUACCCCAGUAGUCCACACCGUAAACGAUGGGUAUUGGAUGUCGGGUCUUGAGGCUCGGUGUUGUAGCUAACGUGUUAAAUACCCCGCCUGGGUAGUACGUAUGCAAAUAUGAAACUCAAAGGAAUUGACGGGGACCUGAACAAGUGGUGGAACAUGUUGCUUAAUUCGAUAAUACACGAAAAACCUUACCAAGGUUUGACAUCCCUCGCAAAGCCAUAGAAAUAUGGUGGAGGUUAUCGAGGUGACAGGUGGUGCAUGGUUGUCGUCAGCUCGUGUCAUGAGAUGUUUGGUUAAGUCCCGCAACGAGCGCAACCCUACUCUUUAGUUAACUAUCUAAAGAGACUGAACAGUAAUGUAUAGGAAGGUUGGGAUCACGUCAAAUCAUCAUGCCCCUUAUGCCUUGGGCCGCAAACGUGUUACAAUGGCGAGCACAAAGUGUCGCAAUCUAGCGAUAGUGAGCUAAUCAUUAAAACUCGUCCCAGUUCGGAUAAAAGGCUGCAAUUCGCCUUUUUGAAGUUGGAAUCACUAGUAAUCCCGUGUCAGCUAUAUCGGGGUGAAUACGUUCCCAGGUCUUGUACAC
rnacentral:rRNA from 1 species